rnacentral:rRNA from 1 species
GCAUAUCAAUAAGCGGAGGAAAAGAAACCAACAGGGAUUGCCUCAGUAACGGCGAGUGAAGCGGCAAAAGCUCAAAUUUGAAAUCUAGCACUUUCAGUGUUCGAGUUGUAAUUUGAAGAAGGUAACUUUGGUUUUGGCUCUUGUCUAUGUUCCUUGGAACAGGACGUCACAGAGGGUGAGAAUCCCGUGCGAUGAGAUGCCCAAUUCCAUGUAAAGUGCUUUCGAAGAGUCGAGUUGUUUGGGAAUGCAGCUCUAAGUGGGUGGUAAAUUCCAUCUAAAGCUAAAUAUUGGCGAGAGACCGAUAGCGAACAAGUACAGUGAUGGAAAGAUGAAAAGAACUUUGAAAAGAGAGUGAAAAAGUACGUGAAAUUGUUGAAAGGGAAGGGCUUGAGAUCAGACUUGGUAUUUUGCGUUCCCUUCCUUUUUGGUUGGGUUCCUCGCAGUUUACUGGGCCAGCAUCGGUUUGGAUGGUAGGAUAAUGACAUUGGAAUGUAGCUUUACUUCGGUGAAGUGUUAUAGACUUUGUUGAUACUGCCUAUCUAGACCGAGGACUGCGUCUUUGACUAGGAUGCUGGCGUAAUGAUCUUAAGCCNCCCGUCUUGAAACACGGACC